rnacentral:rRNA from 1 species
GACGAACGCUGGCGGCGUGCUUAACACAUGCAAGUCGUACGGUAAGGCCCUUUCGGGGGUACACGAGUGGCGCACGGGUGAGUAACACGUGAGUAACCUGCCCACAACUUUGGGAUAACGCUAGGAAACUGGUGCUAAUACUGGAUAUGUGCUCCUGCUGCAUGGUGGGGGUUGGAAAGCUCCGGCGGUUGUGGAUGGACUCGCGGCCUAUCAGCUUGUUGGUGGGGUAGUGGCCUACCAAGGCGGCGACGGGUAGCCGGCCUGAGAGGGUGACCGGCCACAUUGGGACUGAGAUACGGCCCAGACUCCUACGGGAGGCAGCUGUGGGGAAUAUUGCACAAUGGGCGCAAGCCUGAUGCAGCAACGCCGCGUGCGGGAUGACGGCCUUCGGGUUGUAAACCGCUUUCAGCAGGGACGAAGCUUUUUGUGACGGUACCUGCAGAAGAAGCACCGGCUAACUACGUG